UACAGAGGUCCCAAGCGUUGUUCGGAUUCACUGGGCGUAAAGGGUGCGUAGGCGGUCGGGGUAAGUCUGACGUGAAAUCUCCAAGCUCAACUUGGAAAUGGCGUCGGAUACUAUUCGGCUCGAGGAAUGGAGGGGAGACUGGAAUUCUCGGUGUAGCAGUGAAAUGCGUAGAUAUCGAGAGGAACACCAGUGGCGAAGGCGGGUUGCUGGGCUGACACUGACGCUGAGGCGCGAAAGCUAGGGGAGCGAACGGG
rnacentral:rRNA from 1 species